AAGGAACGCACAUAAUUGACUCCGGCAGCCAGGAUGAGCCUGCUAGUCUGCUGGCAUGAGAAAUCCAGAGUGACAGAGCAGCAGCCAUACUGCAACGUUAAACGGGAAUAUUGCUGCGCCCCAUUGUAGAUGCAUUUCCUUUCUGAGAACCGUGAUCUCUGGACCCACAGAAUUUAAUCUGCAAGGACAAGUUUCCCAAGAAUGGAUCACUGACACCACGUGGGAGACAGCGGGAACUGAGUGCUAUGUUUGGGACCGUUCUCCAGCCUCCCAGAAAUGUAAAGUUGGAUUUUCUAAUAACUUCUAAUCAUGGAAAUCACAUACCCACUAUGUGCUAGACACUAUUGUAGGUACUGGAGAAUGAGAAUAAGCAGCCCUGCCCUCAAGGAGCCUUUUUUCUGGUGUUAGCACAGUGCAUAAGGUGGCGCCUUAAAGACCGACCCAUGACAUGGCGUGGUUGUCCUGAUGACUUGCCUAUUUUACGUCUGACCCAUGCUAGUUUGAAUUCGUAGCUGCUGGGUUGGAGGGGAGACCCUCAAGGCUCCUCUCCGUCCUUUGCUAUUCCGGAGCCCUCUCUACUCAGGACUUGUGAGCACCCGCUCUCAAGAAGAUGUGCAUGUUAUUUACAACCAACCAAAUCCUGAUAAAAAUAUCUGUCACUGCAGCUGUGAUUUCACAUCAAAACUUACUGGUUCUAACUGGAACGACGCUGUCCUUUUCUGACCAGCAUCCUCGUACAGCUCUGCAGCAGUUACAGGGGAGGUUCUGCAGAGACACAGCACAAGGCAGAGAGGUUCAAGGGCCUCCUGCCACUUUUCCCUGGUGUGGGGUUUCAUAGCCAUCCUCAGAGGCGGGGGCGGGUGGCAGUCACUGCUCUGCAGGUAACUCUUCCUCAGUUCUUCAGAAACGGAACCUGUUAAGCAUGUGGCAUACCAGGGACAGCUCCCCAUACAGGGCCAAUCGUUCAUUUGUUAGUAAGCAGAAACGACCCUUUCUUUAAGUGUUGCUCACAUCGCCUCCAGGAGAAAUUGUGUGAUUGUGAACAUUCUAGUGGGCUCGUCGCCUUUAUUUGUGGCUCCUGGGUGACUUUGUCAGAUUGUAAUUGCGUUGCGCUUAACUUCCCUAUUGGUGAUCUGUGUGAAAGUGUGUUCUGACCUUGGGUUUUCUCCUCUCAGAUUUUAAAAAUAAAAACAGGCCAUGCUUUGUGCUUUUCAGAGGAGAAACUAUAAAAUACAUUUAUGUUCUCUAUAU
rnacentral:lncRNA from 1 species